AUUGAACGCUGGCGGCAUGCCUUACACAUGCAAGUCGAACGGUAACGGGCCUUCGGGUGCCGACGAGUGGCGAACGGGUGAGUAAUACAUCGGAACGUGCCCGAUCGUGGGGGAUAACGAGGCGAAAGCUUUGCUAAUACCGCAUACGAUCUACGGAUGAAAGCAGGGGACCGCAAGGCCUUGCGCGGACGGAGCGGCCGAUGGCAGAUUAGGUAGUUGGUGGGAUAAAAGCUUACCAAGCCGACGAUCUGUAGCUGGUCUGAGAGGAUGAUCAGCCACACUGGGACUGAGACACGGCCCAGACUCCUACGGGAGGCAGCAGUGGGGAAUUUUGGACAAUGGGCGCAAGCCUGAUCCAGCCAUGCCGCGUGCAGGAUGAAGGCCUUCGGGUUGUAAACUGCUGUUGUACGGAACGAAAAGCCUUCUUUUAAUACAGGAGGGUCAUGACGGUACCGUAAGAAUAAGCACCGGCUAACUACGUG
rnacentral:rRNA from 1 species